CAGACAUGUGAUUGUCUAGAACCAAUUGGAUGAUGCGUUAUAUAGAAUAUUCAUAUUGAGAGCUGCCAUGUCUUCUAAGAGAAACUCCAUUCUUUGAUGACUGAUGGAAAAGCCUCAUCACUUCCUUUGCUAAAGAACUUGUUAUCUUAAUCACUAGCCAUUAAUCAGUGACCACCGUUAUCAAAGCUUCCAGACACGCAUAAUGAUACAGCUUCCUGGAUCGUGUUGAGUUUGUUUUUCAACCUGUGAAACCCAUUUGUUUUUAGGGGUGG